rnacentral:tRNA from 1 species
CCUUCGAUAGCUCAGUUGGUAGAGCGGAGGACUGUAGGUUGAUAGUCGUAGGCAUCCUUAGGUCGCUGGUUCAACUCUGGCUCGAAGGA